AGAACGAACGCUGGCGGCAGGCUUAACACAUGCAAGUCGAGCGCCCCGCAAGGGGAGCGGCAGACGGGUGAGUAACGCGUGGGAACAUACCCUCCGGUUCGGAAUAGCUCAGGGAAACUUGGAUUAAUACCGGAUACGGCCUAGCGGCGAAAGAUUCAUCGCCGGAGGAUUGGCCCGCGUUCGAUUAGCUAGUUGGUGAGGUAACGGCUCACCAAGGCGACGAUCGAUAGCUGGUCUGAGAGGAUGAUCAGCCACAUUGGGACUGAGACACGGCCCAAACUCCUACGGGAGGCAGCAGUGGGGAAUAUUGGACAAUGGGCGCAAGCCUGAUCCAGCCAUGCCGCGUGAGUGAUGACGGCCUUAGGGUUGUAAAGCUCUUUCGCUAGGGACGAUAAUGACGGUACCUAGACAAGAAGCCCGGCUACUUCGCGCCAGCAGCCGC
rnacentral:rRNA from 1 species